AAAUGUCCGCCCAUGGUUAUUUUGUCAAAAAAGUUCACAUUUUUCAGCUCUCUAGUAGUUUUUACGUCAUCGUCCACGGUUCUUAGACUAUACGGUAGCCUAAAUCGACUAACCAAUGAACAUUAAGGGCGCGAUUACGUCACGAGAGUUUAGUAAUUUGAAUCAUAAUAUGAUUAAUCGGUAUUUUUUGUAUGGAAAAUAGUAAAGAUAGUUAUGAAAUAAAGAUAUUUAGUGGAUUAUAAUACCUAAUUAUGAAAAACUUUUGAUUUUUGUGUGGUCUGGUACCCCUACCACAGUGGGAUAGAAAUCUUGAGCUUCCCUGGCCCCUUUCGCUUGGAGGUGCUGUGCUAGGUGCUAGUAGUCACAAACACGAAACACAUCAACAAGUCACGUUCGUAAGAGUUCGUUGCGCAUGAUUCAUUUUCCGUCAUUUUGUUUAUGAUUUUGUCCUGUUUUGUUUUUUUUUUUUUUUUAAAUAGAGGUAAUUUUAUGACCAGUGAUAUGGCUGAGACAGAUAGACUAUUAUUGAAAUGGAACAACAUACAAUAAUAUGUAGAACAUGUUGUGUUGGUGGUUGUACCUUCUCCACAUCGAUUACGUUUUCCAGAGAUGAAAUGGACAUGUUCUUGGAAGGGUUGAAACUUAUUCAAAUUUUCGUGUUUGUUCUAGGCAUUUUAAAGAAGAUUUUAGGAUACAUGAGAGUUCGAACAAGAGGAAUUACCAAAGCUCAUUUUUACCACCACUAGGUAAGAACCACAUAGGACAAAUAAUUCAAUUUUAAUAGAGCUAAAAGUUAGCCAACGCCUAUCGAGUAAAGUACAUAUCCAACAAUUAAAAUACUUUGGAUCAAUCAAAUUACAGGAAUAUGCAAAAGACCUAUGCAUGAGUUAAAAGAAAUGACCAGAGACAGAGAUCUUUUUAGACAGACAAUAUAUGAUAUCACGUCGACCACUACACUCCCUCCUGGGGGUCAGGAUUGAAGAGAGAGAUUAUCAGGAUGAAAAGGCUACUGAAGAAUCUCAAUUUAUUGACAUGCAUGGUAAUAUGUUAUAAAGUACUUCCACUCUAACUUUUCCCAUGCACGAAAUUAUUGACGAACUACUAUUCAUACAAGGUCUCUUUUUAACUCACAGACACUCUGAGAGUAGUACAUAUCAAUGCCACACAUCAAUGUAUGUUUCGCUUUAUUUUUUGAUAUCAACGCAUGUGAAAAGUCAGAGUGGAAGAACUAUAAAAAUAUACCUUACCUACAUUCUAAAUUGUAAUAAUUUUGCUUUUCAUUCACAGUCAUUUAUUUCGAGCUUCUGUCAUAUGUCCUAUAAUCCAUGUAUAUUAAUAUUUUACAGAGAUUAUAUUAGUAUUAUAUGAGAUUCCUAUGACGGAAGCUUAGUUUCGAGCAUCCAUCAUAGGAAUCUCAUAUAAUAUUAAUAUAAUCUGUGUAUAAUAUUAAUAUACAUGAAUUAUAGGACAUAUGACAGAAGCUCGAAAUAAAUGACUGUGAAUGAAAAGCCCUAUUAUUACAAUUGAGAAUGUAGGUGAGGUAUAUUUUUAUAGUUCUUAUAAUAUUAUAAUAUGUAUUAUGCUCAUAUAAUGAUAUUAUCCACUGUACUGAAAGGUAAAAAUUUUAACCCACAAAUCAACUUUUUUCAGGAAGUAGAGAAAACGUUCCACUUAAGUAAUUUGGUGAGGAAUUAACCUCAUCAAAAAAAACGUAUAUAUCAAUAAUUGAACUAUAAAGUAAUGAAAACAAUUAUUAGGUUAAUUCCUCACCAAAUUACAAACGUCUUUUCUACUUCAUGAAAAAAGUUGAUUUGUGAUAAAUACAGUAAAUCCUCUGUUAACUGAAACAUUGCUUAACCGAAAUGGGUCAAUAGUUACAGUUUCAAUAAUUACGUCAAUAAAAGGUAAAUUUUUAUAUCAAAACAGUAAUAAUUUAAUGUUAAUUUGUCAACAUUGCUUUCAUACAACUAAAAUAUGCAAUUUAUUUAUUUAUUUAUACAGGGUGCCUGCUUAACUUGGAACCAUAUGGGAAACUUUUUUAAUAUCAAUUUUACGAAAAAAAGUCAUUCUUUAUAAAGUGCUCUGCAUAGUCUAAAACCUACGAUGCAAUAAUCAGAAAUCAAAUUGUAUCAAUAAUAUACGAGGUAUGUCAAAAAAUAUUAAUAUCGCUCAAGAGCAAACUACCUUUAUAUUUCAAAAUAUCAAAAAAUUUUAUUAUGGAAAGUUAUUUGUAAUUAAAAACCAUAUUCAAAUAUGCAAUAACAGCCUUCUACAUGAAAAAAAAAUUCUGAGAUUUUCCUAAAUUACUGAUUCCAAACAUCAUUUUUAUUUAUUAGACCUGUAAUAACUCUUUUAUUGAUAAUUUUAGGAAAAAAAGUUAUUCUUCAUAAAAAUCUGUGCAUGGUCUAAACCUCAAGAUGCAACCAUCAGUUAUCCAAGUUUGUUAAUUUUAUACGAGGUGUGUCAAAUAAUAUGACUUUAGAAAGAAUUCUUUCUAUAUUCUUUCUAAAUUCAUAGUAUUUGACACACCUCGUAUAAAACUAACAAACUUGGAAAACUGAUGGUUUUAUCUUGAGGUUUAGACCAUGCAGAGAUUUUUAUGAAGAAUAAGUUUUUUCCUAAAAUUUUUAAUAAAAGAGUUAUUACAUGUCUAAUAAAUAAAAAUGAUGUUCGGAAUCGGUAAUUUAAGAAAAUCUCAGAAUUUUUUUUUCACGUAGAAGGCUGUUAUUGCAUAUUUGAAUAUGGUUUUUAAUUAUAAAUAACUUUUCAUAAUAAAAUUUUUUGAUAUUUUGAAAUAUAAAGGUAGUUUGCUCUUGAGCGAAAUUAAUAUUUUUUGACAUACCUGAUGAUUGCAUCUUUACACUAUGCAGAGCACUUUAUAAAGAAUGACUUUUUUCGUAAAAUUGAUAUUAAAAAAGUUUCCCAUAUGGUUCCAAGUUACGCAGACACCCUGUAUACGGGAUUACCCCCAUUACAAAACAUACAGUAUAAAAUCAAUAUAUGUAAUAUCUACUAAACUAGAGUAAAAAAAAUCUUAAUUACACAUUAAACAAAAACGAAAUAUUAAUAGUUAUCCAUUACACAUAUUACAUCUAUUACAAAAAUCAGUCAAAAUAAACAAAAAAGUACUAUUCUGUAGUACUUAGUAAAGUAUUAUCCUGAAUUUACAUAGUAAAGAAAAUAUUACAAAAUCACCUCAUAGUAUUUUUUAAUGUCAACUGUGACCAAGAAUACUAUGUAAUUUGAUAUAAGAAGAAUACAAAAACACUUAUUUUUAACCGAAAUUCUUGUUAUCUGAAACAGCCCCCCCCUAAUUAUUUCGGUUAACAGAGGUUUUACUCUAUGCAAAUGCAUAUCAAAUGUAUUUAAAAAUAAAACAAAACAUUAAAUAUAACAUUUUUGUUUAAUACAUUUUUUCUUUACAUAAAAACAAAUGAAAUGACACAAAAACUUAUAGAUAUUGUAAUUAAGAAUCUAAAACAUUAUAGUAUGAAUUUAUAUUAAAUUCUUUCAUUAAACAUUAGGAGGUCCUAAAGAACAAAAGCGGGAUUGUCCACAAUUUGAAGAUUUUUUGUACUUUUAUGAUUUUCUGUUUUUCUGUAUACAGUGAGGACGUUUGAGUUGGAAUAAAUUAAUUUUCUCGAGAAUGGCUGACUAUGGAGAUAAAUCCGGAAACCUUUUCGAAUUAUUUCGAUGGCCGAUUUUUAUUUUUAAAUUGUAAUUUUUUAUCAUUUAUCAUAAUCCCCGUGACGUCAUCCGUCUGGGCGUGAUGACGUAAUUGACUAUUUUUUUUUAAAUGAGAAUAGGGGUCGUGUGAUAGUUCAUUCGAAAGGUUCUCCAAUGCUCUAUUCACUAAUAUAAACAUUAAUAUAAUUAUUUAUAAUGUCAAACAAAUUUUUUUUGAAUUAAAUUAAUUGAGAUAAAAAGAAGAAUGUUUACAAUUUAUUUAAUUCGAAAUAGGUACAUUUUACUAUUUCCAAAAACAGGAAAAAAUGUUUAUUUGAUAAAUAAAUAUUGUUUAUCGCUUAAAUUAAAUAUUAAAGUGCCAACCACCUGCCUUUUGGUAGUUUGAACGUUUAAUUUAAGCGAAAAACAAUAUUUAUUUAUCAAAUAAACAUAUUUUCUCUGCUUUAGGGCAACAGUAAAAUGUAUUUUGAAUUAAAUAAAUUGUAAACAUUCUUCAUUUUGUCUCAAUUAAUUUAUGUAAUUAAAAAAAAUUUGGGCACACUGUAUAAACAAUUAUGUUAAUGUUUAUAUUAGUGAAUAUAGAAUUGAUUAGCCUUUCGAAUGAGUUAUCACGCGACCCCUAUUUCCAUUUAAAAAAUUCAAUGAUUACGUUAUUAUGCUCAGAUGGAUGGCGUUAGAAAUUUCCCACCGAGAAAAUUAAUUUAUUCCAACUCAAAUGUCCUCACUGUAUAAGUAAAAUCGAAUUUAUAGCAUAAAAUUUUAUGCUUAUCAUAUUUUUUGCCUACAUUUUUUACAAAAAGUGUGUCUGCAUUUUUUAAAUAAUUUCAAUUUACAGCUAAUAUUUUCAUUUUGUUUUUAGCAAAUAAAAUUGUAUUUUUCAUUUAGUGGACUCGUAUGAAUCUCAAUCAUUAUUUUUAUUGUUUUACAUAUUUCCUUCUUUGCCAACCAUUUUCCAUCAACUCCCAAAUUUAGGUCUCUCACAAUUGCUUCAUCCUUUUUUAUCUUGCGCCAUUCUGAUCCACUGUUUGCCUGCCACUGUUCUUAUGCCAUCUACCCAUCUCUUUUGAGUCUUCCCAUGCUUAUUUCGUCUUGCUUGGUCUCUAUUCUACAAUUCUCUCUAUCCACCUGCUAUCAUUAUAAUUGACUGUGUGACCAGCCCAACAUCAUUUCAUUUUUUAAAUUUCUUCCAUGAUAUCCCUGAUACAGUCUCCAAUUCGUAUGUACAAACUGGUAGUAUGCAUGUGUUAUACAGCCAUGUUUAUAGAAAUGGGGGUGUUGUUUAAAAUACAUUCUAGUUCACCAAAAGCGGCCCAUCCCAGUUGUGUUUUUCUAAUUUCAGCAUCUGGAUUUGGUUUUCACAGUCUGAUGACGUGGCCUGUGUAUACAUAAUGUUCAACAUUCAGUUAGUUCUUGGACAUGUUUCUAAUAAAAAUAUGUUUUCAAAUGGUUUAAUUGUGAUCCGUUGAUGUUUAUGCACCUUUUCCAUUUUAAUUUCUUAAAAAUAUCUUCUAGUUGUAGAGUAAGGGGAAUAGUUUGGGAGAAAUGGUGCCUCCUUAUCUCACUCUCUGUUGUAGAUAGUUACAUAGUUCACUUUUAUUAUGCAUGCUUAUAUAUUUUACUUUUCUCUUUAUUAUUUAAGUUGAUGAUUUUAUACACAUGAUGACAUUAUAAUAUAGAUGAAAAAUAAAGCUCAUAACAUUCACCCUUUCAGUCACCAUGUUCGUUUAAAUGAACAUCAACUUUUAAGCCCCAAUACGAUAGCUAAUUCCCGUUUUUUACAUUGAAUCACCGUAAUCGUCUCUGUACGUUGUACUAGGCUAGGCAUAAUAAUGUUUAUGGGUAAAAUUUUUUGUUUAUAAAUCUUUAAAAACAUCAUAUAUUUCAACCUCAAAGUUUUAAAUGUUUAUCUUUGCAAACAAAAACUCAUAACUGAAAGGGUUAAGGCGCGCGCGCGAACACCCCCCUCCCCCACACACACACACACACACACACACACACACACACACACACACACACACACACACACACACACACACACACACACACACACACACACACACACACACACACACACACACACACACCACACACACACAUUUGGGUAAUUUGCGCCUAACAAAUCGAUGAUACAUCAGUUAAGUGGAGCUGGACUAAAGUGCCUCACACGGUUCAGCAAUAUUCGGUAAAUAUUUCAUAUGAGGGUUCUUUAUCCCUGCACUCUCACAUGGCAAUCAUUUUGACGAUUCUAUAGCGCAUCAGCGUGCUGUGGGAGGGGUGGAGGAAAGCCUGGGGAGCAUUGGAGCUCGAAGGAGUGGUCCCUGAUUUACUCAGGCCAAUCCUUCUCACCCCAAUGAAUUGUAUGCCUGAAUGGCCAUAUGGGCAUGCAAGUCUCUGCAGGUGUGUUUACUUUUUGCUUGCUUGCUCGUGAGUAAUUCCAUUUAUCAUUUAGUAGGUCAGAGUCAAUAGAUGCCUAGGCUCAAAAUGGGACCCAUUUCCAUUGAGUAUAACGUGGAUCCCUGCACAAGGAUAUACGUGAAGACCAGAAUGGUAGCAGUCACGUAUAAAAUAUAUCUAUGAUAUGAUACUUCUGUAAUUCCAUACAAAUUUUGAUUGCUCAAGUAAUUUUAUAAAGUAAUUUACAGAAAUAAAUAACUUUUUAAGAA